CCUACGGGCGGCACCAGUAGGGAAUCUUCGGCAAUGGACGAAAGUCUGACCGAGCAACGCCGCGUGAGUGAAGAAGGUUUUCGGAUCGUAAAACUCUGUUGUUAUAGAAGAACAAGUAGGAGAGUAACUGCUCUUACCUUGACGGUAUCUAACCAGAAAGCCACGGCUAACUACGUGCCAGCAGCCGCGGUAAUACGUAGGUGGCAAGCGUUGUCCGGAUUUAUUGGGCGUAAAGCGAGCGCAGGCGGUCUUUUAAGUCUGAUGUGAAAGCCCUCGGCUCAACCGAGGAAGGUCAUUGGAAACUGGAGGACUUGAGUGCAGAAGAGGAGAGUGGAAUUCCACGUGUAGCGGUGAAAUGCGUAGAGAUGUGGAGGAACACCAGUGGCGAAGGCGACUCUCUGGUUUGUAACUGACGCUGAGGAGCGAAAGCGUGGGGAGCGAACAGGAUUAGAUACCCCAGUAGUC
rnacentral:rRNA from 1 species